rnacentral:rRNA from 1 species
GACGAACGCUGGCGGCGUGCUUAACACAUGCAAGUCGAACGGAAAGGCCCUGCUUUUGUGGGGUGCUCGAGUGGCGAACGGGUGAGUAACACGUGAGUAACCUGCCCUUGACUUUGGGAUAACUUCAGGAAACUGGGGCUAAUACCGGAUAGGAGCUCCUGCUGCAUGGUGGGGGUUGGAAAGUUUCGGCGGUUGGGGAUGGACUCGCGGCUUAUCAGCUUGUUGGUGGGGUAGUGGCUUACCAAGGCUUUGACGGGUAGCCGGCCUGAGAGGGUGACCGGCGACAUGGGGACUGAGAUACGGCCCAGACUCCUACGUGAGGCAGCAGUGGGGAAUAUGGCACAAUGGGCGGAAGCCUGAUGCAGCAACGCCGCGUGCGGGAUGACGGCCUUCGGGUUGUAAACCGCUUUCGCCUGUGACGAAGCGUGAGUGACGGUAAUGGGUAAAGAAGCACCGGCUAACUACGUG